rnacentral:lncRNA from 1 species
UUCUGACCCGGAUUAAAGGUGUCUUCUUGGGUCCGACAUUUUGGGGUCACAAAAAUCCAACAGGCCGAACUCAUUAAAACUUCCACUUGUUCUUUAAUAACAUUAUUCCCUGCAUUUUGCAAACCUUGGUAUAUGUUUCUUUUAAACAACCCCCUCCACAUUGUCCUUAGCUAAACAGUUGAUCGGACUUCCUACGACUCCUUCCAAAUUCUCUUCCAAUUUCACACUAAGACUGUCCAGGUUCUCGUAAGCAUGCAGAUCUACCUCUUAAGAUGC